rnacentral:rRNA from 1 species
UCGAGGAUCUUCGUCAAUGGGCGCAAGCCUGAACGAGCGACGCCGCGUGCGCGAUGAAGGCCUUCGGGUUGUAAAGCGCGAAAGUGGGGAUAAAGCCGAAAGGUUGAUAGAUCCACAGUAAGGACGGGCUAAGUUCGUGCCAGCAGCCGCGGUAAGACGAACUGUCCUAACGUUGUUCGGAAUCACUGGGCUUAAAGGGCGCGUAGGCGGUCCGACAAGUCAGGGGUGAAAUCCUGCAGCUUAACUGCAGAAGUGCCUUUGAUACUGUCGGUCUGGAGGGAGAUAGGGGUGUGCGGAACUUCCAGUGGAGCGGUGAAAUGCGUUGAUAUUGGAAGGAACGCCGGAGGCGAAAGCGGCGCACUGGAUCUCUUCUGACGCUGAGGCGCGAAAGCUAGGGGAGCAAACGG